rnacentral:lncRNA from 1 species
UGAGGAAGUGGGAGUCAGUUGCUGAUAGGUGAUGGCAGUUGCAGGGAAGUUGGCUUCUGAGAAUACUAACAAUUGGAAGAAUCAGAAGAGACUACAUGUAGGAAGUGAUGAUUGAUUGGAGCCUUGAAGGAAAUAGGGAGAAACCUCUAAAGCUUUUUGAGCAAAUGAUUGAAUUGACCACAACUAUGUUUUAAGGAAGUCUCCUUGGAGCCUGUGUGGAGGAUGGGCUGGGAAUGGGAGACAUUAGAGACAGGAAGAUCAAGUAAAAAGCUGUGGCAAGUUUUCACUUAGAA